rnacentral:rRNA from 1 species
UGGCGGACGGGUGAGUAACGCGUAGGAAUCUACCUAGUAGAAGGGGAUAGCCCGGGGAAACUCGGAUUAAUACCGUAUACCUCCUCAGGGAGAAAGAGGGCUUAGCUUUGAUGCUCUCGCUAUUAGAUGAGCCUGCGUAAGAUUAGCUUGUUGGUGAGGUAAUGGCUCACCAAGGCGACGAUCUUUAGCUGGUCUGAGAGGACGAUCAGCCACAUUGGGACUGAGACACGGCCCAGACUCCUACGGGAGGCAGCAGUGGGGAAUAUUGGACAAUGGGCGCAAGCCUGAUCCAGCCAUACCGCGUGUGUGAAGAAGGCUUUCGGGUUGUAAAGCACUUUAAGUAAGGAGAAAAAGAUUGUAGUUAAUACCUGCAAUCCGUGAUGUUACUUACAGAAUAAGGACCGGCUAAUUCCGUGCCAGCAGCCGCGGUAAUACGGAAGGUCCAAGCGUUAAUCGGAAUUACUGGGCGUAAAGCGCGCGUAGGUGGUUUUUUAAGUUGGAUGUGAAAGCCCUGGGCUCAACCUAGGAACUGCAUCCAAAACUAGAUGACUAGAGUACGAAAGAGGGAAGUAGAAUUCACAGUGUAGCGGU